rnacentral:piRNA from 1 species
UAUCAAGACUCCUGUCUCAAGGGCCGAGC